UCCUUGGUGGCUCAGAGGGUAAAGAAUCUGCCUGCAGUGCAGGAGACCCAGGUUCGAUCCCUGGGUCGGGAA
rnacentral:tRNA from 1 species